GCAUCUGCAAAUUCAGGUGCCGGGCUUUGCACCCCGUAGGGAUUGUCGCGACAGAAUGACACGCCGCGAGCGUGUUUUUU
rnacentral:sRNA from 1 species